GAUGAACGCUAGCGGCAGGCUUAACACAUGCAAGUCGAGGGGCAGCGCGAUGUAGCAAUACAUUGGCGGCGACCGGCGCACGGGUGCGUAACACGUAUGGAACUUACCCUUUACUGGGAGAUAGCCCGGAGAAAUCCGGAUUAAUAUCCCAUAAUAAACGAAGUGGCAUCAUUUUGUUUUGAAAGCUCCGGCGGUAAAGGAUGGCCAUGCGCACGAUUAGCUAGUAGGUGAGGUAACGGCUCACCUAGGCUACGAUCGUUAGGGGGCCUGAGAGGGUUAUCCCCCACACUGGUACUGAGACACGGACCAGACUCCUACGGGAGGCAGCAGUGAGGAAUAUUGCGCAAUGGAGGCAACUCUGACGCAGCCAUGCCGCGUGCAGGAAGAAGGCGCUACGCGUUGUAAACUGCUUUUAACCGGGAAGAAACCCUCCGACGUGUCGGAGGUUGACGGUACCGGAGGAAUAAGCACCGGCUAACUACGUGCCAGCAGCCGCGGUAAAGUG
rnacentral:rRNA from 1 species